GCUGGGUGUGGUGUCGCAUGCCUGUGAUCCCAGCAAUUUGGGAGGCUGUGACAGGAGGAUUAAGACAGGAGGAUUGCUAAAGCCAACCCCAGCAGUUUAGUGAGGCCCUAAGCAACUUUGUGAGACCUUGUUUCAA
rnacentral:sRNA from 1 species